GGAGGUCCUGUUGAUAUACAUCGGGUUCUUGACAAUGGUCUCCUUGUUGAUCCCCAUGAUCAAAAUGCUAUUGCUGAUGCACUUUACAAGCUUGUAUCUGACAAGCAGCUUUGGGCACGUUGUCGUCAGAACGGAUUGAAAAAUAUUCACCUAUUCUCUUGGCCAGAGCAUUGUAAGACUUAUUUAUCUCGGAUAGCCAGUUGUAGACCAAGAUAUCCUCAAUGGCAGAGGAAUGACGAUGGAUACGAUAAUUCUGACACUGAGUCACCGGGUGACUCCUUGAGGGAUAUCCAAGAUAUAUCUUUGAACUUAAAGCUUUCUUUUGGCACUGAAAAGGCUGGAGGAAGUGGCAACCUGGAUAACGUCUUUGGUUCUG
rnacentral:misc_RNA from 1 species